rnacentral:rRNA from 1 species
CCUACGGGAGGCAGCAGUGAGGAAUAUUGGUCAAUGGACGAGAGUCUGAACCAGCCAAGUAGCGUGAAGGAUGACUGCCCUAUGGGUUGUAAACUUCUUUUAUAUGGGAAUAAAAUGUUCCACGUGUGGGAUUUUGUAUGUACCAUAUGAAUAAGGAUCGGCUAACUCCGUGCCAGCAGCCGCGGUAAUACGGAGGAUCCGAGCGUUAUCCGGAUUUAUUGGGUUUAAAGGGAGCGUAGGUGGAUUGUUAAGUCAGUUGUGAAAGUUUGCGGCUCAACCGUAAAAUUGCAGUUGAAACUGGCAGUCUUGAGUACAGUAGAGGUAGGCGGAAUUCGUGGGGUAGCGGUGAAAUGCUUAGAUAUCACGAAGAACUCCGAUUGCGAAGGCAGUUCACUGGACUGCAACUGACACUGAGGCUCGAAAGUGUGGGUAUCAAACAGGAUUAGAUACCCGAGUAGUC